CAGCCGUAAACAAUGUGCGUUAGGUGUGUCGGUAACCACGUGUUACUGAUGCGCCGAAGAGAAAUCGUGAAACGCACCACCUGGGAAGUACGGUCGCAAGGCUGAAACUUAAAGGAAUUGGCGGGGGAGCACCACAACAGGUGGAGCCUGCGGGUUUAAAUUGGAUUCAACGCCGGACAUCUCACCGGAUAAGACAGCUGAAUGAUUGUCAAUCUGAAGACUUUGCCGGAUUAAGCUGAGAGGUGGUGCAUGGC
rnacentral:rRNA from 1 species